rnacentral:rRNA from 1 species
CAGCCGCCACGGGAAUACGGAGGGAGCUAGCGUUGUUCGGAAUUACUGGGCGUAAAGCGCGCGUAGGCGGUUACUCAAGUCAGAGGUGAAAGCCCGGGGCUCAACCCCGGAACUGCCUUUGAAACUAGGUGACUAGAAUCUUGGAGAGGUCAGCGGAAUUCCGAGUGUAGAGGUGAAAUUCGUAGAUAUUCGGAAGAACACCAGUGGCGAAGGCGACUGACUGGACAAGUAUUGACGCUGAGGUGCGAAAGCGUGGGGAGCAAACAGGAUUAGAUACCCCCGUAGUCCCUGUCUCUUAUAC